rnacentral:tRNA from 1 species
GGUGGCUCAGUGGUAGAGUGCUUGCUUUGCAAUGCAUGAGGCCCUGGGUUUGAUUCCCCAGCACCA